UGGAUGUUUCCUGUAUGUUGUUGGGGUUGCUGUUUCUCCGUCCAUCCUUCAGGGGGCGCCUGGCAGUCAUUCCUGGAGGGCGUGGACCAGCUGAUACAAAUCACCUGCACUGCAUGAUCUCAUUUGGAGGAGCAUAAGAGGAGGAGGCAGCCUACACCAGUGCCAGAGUGUUUUUGCCAGUUUUAGUAUUACAGGCCACCUGAAUUUCUCCAGUGAUUGCUUUUUGUGAACUCUUAGUGAUUUUUUUUUUUUUGUGCCUCCACAGGAACUCUCACUGUAGAAGCUAUGAAACCCUUUGUGGAGUUCCAGCGCAAAACCUCUCCUCCUCCAACCUUUCCUCUCUUUGUGCUUUGUGACGCCGGUGGAUUAUACCCACCGGAUGCCCAAGUCCCUGUAUCUCACCUUGGUGAUCAAAUCUCCACGCUCGCUGCCCUCCUCUCUCCUGCCAUUAAGAAACCCGCCCAGACCUCGUCCGCCCUCCAGUGCUACCCUGCCACCUUAAGCUUAGCAGCAACACUCGACCUCAAGCCCAGGAACCAUCAGAUUCCCCUCGGUCCAUAUCAUCUCAGCUAAAAUUCCAACCCAGAAGCACCAAUUCCACUCCGGACCAGUUUUUCCCCCUUCUGACUGUUAUUCUUUGCAAUAAAUAUCACUUUACUGAUUCCCCUUGUACUGUGGGUGUUCUUGCAUGUGGGUCAGACGAUUAAAACCCGACAUGACAGUCACCAUGUUGUAGCAGUUUAUGAGACAGAUAAUCUGUGAAAACAGUCAAUCUCCUCCAUCUCCUUCCUGAAUUACUAUUACUGGUUAAACUAAUGCACCGUUCUGACCAAAAUGUCCAAUCAGAACUAGUGGGACGCUCUUAGCACAAACACUAUAACUUUCACAUAAAAAAGUCAAUUGGCCCGAAACUUGGCAUGAGUGAUCCUGGUUGGUUGGAUGUUUGAUGAUCCCAUGUUAUUAUAGUCUGAUGUCAUCUAAGCCCCGCCCCCUAAAAACAGGAAGUGACUUUUUUUCUUGGAAAGUUCCAUCUCUGACCCCCUUGACCUAAUUAAGAUGAUCUUGUGUCAGAAGAUACAUAACUAGCUGGUCUCACUUGCUUUAAAACACAAAGAAUUUUCGGUCGAGGGCGAGGCCCCAUGGCGGCGCUGUGAAGCCGCCAUGUGAAUGCCAUUGUCAUUUAUUUGGCUCUAAAUUCCACAUAUUUCAGCUGAGCUGCAACAAACUCACUGUGAUUGAUCCUUGUCCACCCCCCUGACAGGAAUGCAGUCAAAUAAAUGGGGGGCGUGGCCUAAUUCCUCCACAGCGUCCCCUAGAAUAUUU